rnacentral:rRNA from 1 species
GGUCUCCGUAGGUGAACCUGCGGAGGGAUCAUUACACAAAUAUGAAGGCGGGCUGGAACCUCUCGGGGUUACAGCCUUGCUGAAUUAUUCACCCUUGUCUUUUGCGUACUUCUUGUUUCCUUGGUGGGUUCGCCCACCACUAGGACAAACAUUAAACCUUUUGUAAUUGCAAUCAGCGUCAGUAACAAAUUAAUAAUUACAACUUUCAACAACGGAUCUCUUGGUUCUGGCAUCGAUGAAGAACGCAGCGAAAUGCGAUAAGUAGUGUGAAUUGCAGAAUUCAGUGAAUCAUCGAAUCUUUGAACGCACAUUGCGCCCUUUGGUAUUCCAAAGGGCAUGCCUGUUCGAGCGUCAUUUGUACCCUCAAGCUUUGCUUGGUGUUGGGCGUCUUGUCUCUAGCUUUGCUGGAGACUCGCCUUAAAGUAAUUGGCAGCCGGCCUACUGGUUUCGGAGCGCAGCACAAGUCGCACUCUCUAUCAGCAAAGGUCUAGCAUCCAUUAAGCCUUUUUUUCAACUUUUGACCUCGGAUCAGGUAGGGAUACCCGCUGACUA